GACAGUUGGUAUGGGCAAUGGGACCUGAUCUCAGGCCUUCCCGAAUUGUCUGAAGCCAGCUCUCUAGCUACCAUAAAGCCCUACCUCUCUGACGUACAGUUAGUAUUUCUCAUUUGGCAAAAUGUGUGCAUUAUCUCACCGGAGCCUCCAAAACAGCCUUACUGGAACCAUCCAUCAACUUCUACUCUAUGGGAGUUGUCAGGGGAACCAAGAGAUUAUUUGAUUGAAGCAGGGUCACAGAGCAAGCACAUGCCAGGGCUGAAGGGUAAGCCCAGUUCAUCCUGCCUAUGAGGAUAUUUCUUUUCAAUAUGCCACAUGGCCUGUGACAGGUUCUUUUUAUUAUAGAUGUGGAGCUGGAGGAGGAAAUGGCAUACUACUAUGUGCAGAAAACUGUAAAUGGGAUCAUAAGGAUGUGGACGCAACUGAACAACAGCAAACUACUUUUCAAAAUAACUUUUCUCUGGUUGGUCUAAAUAAAUGUGCUUUUCCUUGUUAUU